AAUGAACGCUGGCGGCAGGCCUAACACAUGCAAGUCGAGCGAGCGGCGGACGGGUGAGUAAUGUAUGGGGACUGCCUGAUAUAGGGGGAAAACUACUGGAAACGGUGGAGAACACCGCACACUAUAGGUUAACUCAUAUGGGUUUAGCUAGUAGGGGGGGUAAAGGCUCACCUAGGCGACGAUCUCUAGCUGGUCUGAGAGGAUGAUCAGCCACACUGGGACUGAGACACGGCCCAGACUCCGACGGAGGCAGCAGUGGGGAAUAUUGCGCAAUGGGCGCAAGCCUGAUACAGCCAUGCCGCGUGUAUGAAGAAGGCCUUAGGGUUGUAAAGUACUUUCGGCGGGGAGGCGUUACCCGCAGAGGAAGCACCGGCUAACGCCGUGCCAGCAGCCGCGGUAAUUC
rnacentral:rRNA from 1 species